UGUCCGCGCACUAUUAAAUUACUCAGAGACUUUUGUUCUUUGGGAUUUGGAAUCGACAGCGAGCCUAUUGAGCUAUUAAGGUUCAGCAAAAUUAGAGGAUAAGGCGCCGGGCUGAAGACAAACAUACAUAGGCUAUGAUGCACGUUUUAGUUGAUUGAAGUGAUGACAUUUUUAUUCAGUGUAUAGGCUACAUAUAUAUAUAUUUUUUUUUAAAUUAGAGAAUGUAAGACACACUUUAGGUCUACAACAAUGAUAUAUAAAUUUUAAUGUUAAAAUGCUCGGACCAAGCCAGAACUCUUGGUGUAGUCAUGGACUCUGACCUGAGUUUUAACAGCCACAUUAAGACAAUUACAAAGACAGCCUUCUAUCACCUGAAGAAUAGAGCAAGAACUAGAGGACUGAUGUCUCAGCAGGAUUUAGAAAAACUAGUCCAUGCAUUUAUCUUCAGUCGACUUGACGACUGUAACGGAGUCUUUACUGGUCUUCCUAAAAUAUCCAUCAGACGGCUGCAGCUGAUUCAGAACGCUGCUGCUAGAGUCCCCACUAAGACCAAGAAAGUGGAUCACAUCAGUCCAGUUCUGAGGUCUCUACACCGGCUCCCUGUCUCUGAGAACUGAUUUCAAAACACUCCUGCUGGUUUACAAAGCACUAAAUGGUUCAGGGCCAAAAUACAUGUCUGAUCUUCUGCUGUGUUCUGAACCAUCCAGACCUCUCAGGUCAUCUGGAUCAGGUCUGCUUAGUGUCCCCAGAGU